GGGUUGUGAGGUUAAGCGACUAAGCGUACACGGUGGAUGCCCUGGCAGUCAGAGGCGAUGAAGGACGUGCUAAUCUGCGAAAAGCGUCGGUAAGGUGAUAUGAACCGUUACAGCCGGCGAUGUCCGAAUGGGGAAACCCAGUGCAAUUCGUUGCACUAUCGUUAACUGAAUACAUAGGUUAACGAGGCGAACCGGGGGAACUGAAACAUCUAAGUACCCCGAGGAAAAGAAAUCAACCGAGAUUCCCCCAGUAGCGGCGAGCGAACGGGGAGCAGCCCGGAGUCUGAAUCAGCUUGUGUGUUAGUGGAAGCGUCUGGAAAGUCGCAGGGUACAGGGUGAUACUCCCGUACACUAAA
rnacentral:rRNA from 1 species